rnacentral:rRNA from 1 species
CCUACGGGUGGCAGCAGUGAGGAAUAUUGGUCAAUGGUCGGGAGACUGAACCAGCCAAGCCGCGUGAGGGAUGAAGGUCCAGAGUGUUGUAAACCUCUUUUGUCAGGGCACAAAGGUCGGGACGUGUCCCCGGAUGAGUGUCCAUGAAGAAAAAGCAUCGGCUAACUCCGUGCCAGCAGCCGCGGUACGACGGAGGAUGCGAGUGUUAUCCGGAUUUAUUGGGUUUAAAGGGUGCGCAGGCGGGCUGUUAAGGCAGCGGUAAAAGCACGGGGCGCAACCCCGGCCCCCCGUUGAAACUGGCAGUCUCGAUGUGGAGAGAAGUAUGCGGAAUGCGCGGUGUAGCGGUGAAAUGCAUAGAUAUCGCGCAGAACUCCGAUUGCGAAGGCAGCAUGCCGGCUCCACACUGACGCUGAGGCACGAAAGCGUGGGUAUCGAACAGGAGUAGAUACCCUUGUAGUC